CCUACGGGGGGCUGCAGUGGGGAAUAUUGGACAAUGGGCGCAAGCCUGAUCCAGCCAUGCCGCGUGUGUGAAGAAGGCCUGCGGGUUGUAAAGCACUUUAAGCAGGAAAGAAGGCUGCAAAGCGAAUACCUUUGCAGAUUGACGUUACCUGCAGAAUAAGCACCGGCUAACUCCGUGCCAGCAGCCGCGGUAAUACGGAAGGUGCGAGCGUUAAUCGGAAUUACUGGGCGGAAAACGCGCGUAGUCGAUUCCCUGGGCUCAACCUGGGAACGGCAGAGGAUACUGGCCAGCUAGAGUAUGGUAGAGGAGAGUGGAAUUUCCGGUGUAGCAGUGAAAUGCGUAGAGAUCGGAAGGAACACCAGUGGCGAAGGCGGCUCUCUGGACCAAUACUGACGCUGAGGUGCGAAAGCGUGGGGAGCAAACAGGAUUAGAUACCCCUGUAGUC
rnacentral:rRNA from 1 species